UCGAGAAUCUUCCGCAAUGGGCGCAAGCCUGAUGCAGCGACGCCGCGUGGGUGAAGAAGGUUUUCGGAUCGUAAAACCCUUUUCUGUGUGACGAGAACGGACGGUAGCACAGGAAUAAGUCUCGGCUAACUACGUGCCAGCAGCCGCGGUAAAACGUAGGAGACAAACGUUAUCCGGAGUUACUGGGCGUAAAGGGCGUGCAGGCGGCAGUCUAAGUCUGGCGUGAAAUAUCCCGGCUCAACCGGGAGAGGUCGUCGGAUACUGGGCAGCUCGAGGGCGGUAGAGGCGUGUGGAAUUCCGGGUGUAGUGGUGAAAUGCGUAGAGAUCCGGAGGAACACCAGUGGCGAAGGCGACACGCUGGGCCGCACCUGACGCUAAGACGCGACAGCAUGGGGAGCGAACAGGAUUAGAUACCCAAGUAGUCCCUGAGCGGGCUGGCAAGGCGCAU
rnacentral:rRNA from 1 species